GACCUCAGUUCAGGUGAGAUUACCGGCUGAAUUUAAGCAUAUUACUAAGCCGAGGAAAAGAAACUAACAAGGAUUCCCCUAGUAGCAGCGAGCGAACAGGGAAGAGCCCAGCGCUGAAUCCCCCGGGCCUCGCUCGGCGGGAAAUGUAGCGUUUGGGAGGGCCCGUCAACACGGCGACUCGCUCACUGGUUCAAGUCCAACUUGAAUGGGGCCACACAGAGGGUGACAGGCCCGUAGAGCAGGAGCGGUUGUCGUGUGGGUCUCUCCUUAGAGUCGGUUUGCUUGAGAGUGCAGACUUAAGUGGGUGGUAAACUCCAUCUAAGGCUAAAUAUGACCACGAGACCGAUAGCACACAAGUACCGUGAGGGAAAGGUGAAAAGAACUUUGAAGAGAGAGUUCAAGAGUACGUGAAACUGAAGUGGUGUAAACGGACGAGUUCGAAAAGUCCGAAUGGUGAGAUUCAAGCUUACCGUGCCGGUGGCCCUCGGGUUCAGAUGGCGUCGUCAGCUCGGGCUUCGGUUCGGGUCAUACGGCGUCACUCGUCCUGGGGGUAUCUGUCUGGUGCGGUGGGCUGCACUUCUCGCCUAGUAGGACGUCGCGACCCGUUGGGAUGUUCCGUUCACUGGCCCCUGGUGGAGCCCGCGCCGGAGCGUGGCCUUGUGCCGCGUUGCUGUUUGCACGGACCCGGGGUGACCUGAUCGGCGCCCGACGGUAUCAAAGCUUGGGAAGAGGCCGCACAGAGGAUGCGUUCGAUGGCCGUUUCGGCCUACACUCGGACAGG
rnacentral:rRNA from 1 species